CAUGGCAAUGUCCUUAGAGUCACAUUUUCUGUAAGAAAACUGCUCCAGUGCAUCUGGAGUGCAGUCUCACAUCUUACUGUUCUACUAAUGAACUCUGCCUGCUAUGAAAGCUGCCUUUGCUCUUGCUGUCUUGGGUACUGAUCACAGUCUCUCCAGACCUUUGGGUAUCUAUGAAAUUAGCUGGUCUAUGCUGCACCCCACACUGCUUGGUUUUACUGAUAUUCCACUAAAGGAAGGCAAGCUUCAUUGUAUUUACCCAUUCUGUGUGAACACUGCAGACUGCAUAUUUCUCCACCCCAGCCUCCCUUUCUCUAAGCAUUUGAAAUUAGCUUCAGUUGGGUUUAGCAGAUCCCUGAAAACAUAGAUACUUAUUUCCCGCUUUGUCCUCUUCCUUGUCCGUUUCAUUACUCAUUUUCCUUGGAAAGGACAAUGUGAUUUAUAAUAUAUAUCUUUAUAGCAUUUGGAAGAACACCUAUUUCUUCAGAGAAAUGUAAUGGGAUAUAUUUAAAACCACAGAACUCUGGGACUACUUUGCUUUGCUUGAAGUACAGACUCACAGUUCUCCUUACAGGGGGAUAUCUACAGUGAAAUUACUAAUCUUGUGAAUAAUUUUGUGGAUGGUAAAAUAUGACCUCUGUUCUGGGUAGAUUGUGAAGAGAAGCUCCCACACAUUUAUCUCCUCAUGCCCAACACCUUUCUCUUCAGUAUUCUGGAAAUGGACAGUCUAGCAGAGAUUUCUGUCACCAUGCUAAUUUAAGUCAAUGGCAAUAACCUUUUUGAUGUCAGUGAGGCAGGAUAAAAUCUUGUGUAAACAGCCAGUCCUCACAUCUUUCCUCAUCUCAAGAACCUUGCUGACAUCUAACUUAACACCUUACAUAUCCACCUCUCUCAAAUACUUAAGUAAGCACAGAUAUGUGACAGCAAGUUGGUAUAAUGGUGAAGAAAAGGAUGUGAAUGUAAGGUUGGAUUAAAGGUAUAGUGCUAUAGGAAAGAUUAUAUAAUCUAUUUUUCUGUGCAAGUUUUUUUCUAUAUCUCAGUCCAAGCAGCUGUUGAGCAAGCAGUAUGAAGCACAGGAGAUUAGGGGCAAAAAUAUAUUUGAACCAUCAGAUACUUGGAAAAACUGUAGUCUUAUCUGAGCUUGGUGAGAAGAACCUGAGAAAUUACAUGGAGUGGGAGAAACACCAAGGGAAUGGUUACUGGUUUAAAAAGAAAAACAGUUGAUUAUAUUUUGUCAGAAAAUGAAAGAUUUUAGUCCUGACUGUUUUUUUUGUGUUUGAGGUUACUUAUGAAAACCACUCAGCACAGAGCAGAUUCUGGCACUGUUGUGCUGUCAUCACUGUAAAUUCAUUAAUGUUUCACUGAACUGUUCUAAUGCCAUUAGACUGCCCCAUGUCACAUGUGUUAUGUCUAUGAAUGGUCUCUUUGUCUCCCUGUGUAGCAAGGAAGGUGAAAGGAACUGGAAUUGAACUCAUUCUUCAAGCCGAGAAUCUUUGCAAUCAUAAGUAAAGGAAGUCCCUUCAGCUUAACAUUCAUUGCCUCCCCCCUCAUUUAAAAACAGAUGUCAGCAAGAGGAGAAGACAGGUGCAGAGUGCCUCUUUCAGCCGCUUUUGAAGGAAAGCAGGAAGUGAAUAAGUCGAAGAGAGCUGUGCUGUUUGGAUCUUUAGAAAGCGUUUAUAGCUUCUAGAUAUGUUCCUGCUAAUGAGGGCGUGAGAUGCCAGCUCUUUGGAAGUUAGAGCAUGCACUGUUGCACUCUCAUCAACUCUGAUGGAUGCACUGUAUAUGGGAAUAUAAUUUAAACAUGAGGAUAUGAGGAAUGAUUUAUUAAGUUACCGCAGAAAGCACUUAAGAAAAAAAUGUCUAAUACUAGAAAAAAUGUCUAGCAUAUUUGAAUGCUAUUUAAACAACAAAAUUUGUUAUAAACUGGAAACCUCCAAAUGGAUGCUCUUCAUAUACUGCAGCACUGUCUGAAACUGCAUAUAAAUACCCUGAAUAGUAGCUGUAAAAUAUUACAAGUUACAACAGCCAGACUCAUGAAUCUAAUGAAGGCCACAAACUGAUUGCUGUCAAUCAUAUUAUUACUGUUAAAGCCAGCAGCAAUAUCUGAGAGCUAUACUAUGUUUGGGUGUGUGGUGAGAUCUGACUACUGCCAUUUUCUUCCUUAGGCAAUCCAACUUCCACACAAAAUAGUGUCCUUUUUUUAAUGGGGGCAAGAUCAGAUACAAUACGAUCCAUGGUCUCAACAAGACUCCAGACUGAGAUUUCUUAGUAAUCUGUACAGUUCUCUGCGCUGGACUCUCACUUUUCAGAAUGAUGAAAGCAGAAUGUCAGAGACUACACUGCUUCUGAACUACUGUUGUGUGAGUUCAAAGAGGAACUAUUAAGCCCUGGAUCUGUGCCUGAUCUUUUUAUUCCUGGUACUAUCAAAGGCUGUGAUCAUUAAUCCCAGUUAAACAAGAAGUCAGCAUGUUCCACAGAAUCAAAGGGUGAACCAGGAUUCAGGAGAGAGAUCUCUUGCUCCCGCUUCUGUUGAUGAGGUGUUAUGUCACUUAUGAAGUUCAUGCUGGCUGAGCUUCUCCUACUUUUUGCUCAACGAUUUAAUAUUAGCUUGGGCGCCAUAACUAUACCUGUCUAGAUUUUUCAGUGUGUUGAGCCAUUGUGGCAAACAUCAUGGGUAAUGCAUUUUUGCAGAAUAAAGAGUGCAUUUAGAUGUAUUAUAGUUAUAUAUUUAAUAUCUUUUCAUUGUAAAUUCAACUAUUUGGAGCUUCUACACAAAUAAUUUUACAUUUGUAUCAUUAAAGGAGAUAAAAUCCCACUGAUUUUGAACAAAUCUUAGCUCAUGCCACUAUCUCCAUCUGAUUGUUUCAGCCCUUUUAUUUGAAGCUGGGUCCAUAAAUGAAUGAGUUGGUUUGUGCAGAAGUCAAUAUCCACAUUCAUCUUAAUCCAUUUUUGUAAGGUCAAGAUUCCCAUUUAUCACUGGAGUUUAAUGUGAGGGCUCAGUCCCAUGCUCCAUUUCCUUAGGGAGAAGCAAACUCCUUUGUUACUUACAUACUUCACCAUUAAAGAAAUCCCAGGAAUCUUCAGUAGAAUUUAAUCUUUUGAUUCUCUAAUCUGUGCCUGACAGAUACUAAGGAAGAAACAGAAUAUUUGCAAAAAAACUACUCAGCAGACAUAUGGGAAUAAAGAUAUGUCAAUUAUUCAGCAAGGAUUUACCUACUAUGCCUAAUUUUGCUGAGGAAUAUGGAAAGAAUUGAAAGGUUAAAAGGAAGGGCAACAAAUAUAUAGCAAACCAUGAAAAGUAUUUAUUGCAAGACAGAAACUCACAGGUAUGAUAGAGUUGCCCCUCAUAAGCAUGUAAUUCUAGAACAGACAUCCCACAGGAAGGUUACUGCAGGAAAAGACUUAAUAGAGAACAUGAAUGAAUGAAAUACUGUAUUUCAAGGACUAAGGGAAUGAACCCAGCCUCCUAGGACUAUUUGGUUUGUUUCCAAAAUAUAAGACUCCCUUUUUAGAAGAAAAUUAAUUUCCAGUCAGAUGGACCAGAAUUUUUGUUAAUGUUUGUUUUUUCCCCAUGUGGUUGAACAAUGAUUCAAAGGAAUCUACAUUAAUAGAAGCAGCUGGUGUGUGUUUUAGAAGUGAGUAGAUUAUAAAACUUAACAACUUAAUAAAGCCAGUUGGCUAUGUGAGAUGGGUAUGCAUAUACAACAUGAUACCUUGUGUGACUAAAAUGCACGUAAAAAAUAUCUGAGUUUUCUCUUUGUACUGUUGUCAGGUGCUCAAUAUAUGAAAAAUGUCUGUUUGGGUUUUUUUCCUCAAUAAACUGUAAUUUGGGUAGGAUGAUACUGCA